rnacentral:rRNA from 1 species
AUUGAACGCUGGCGACAGGCUUAACACAUUCAAGUCGAACGAGUGGCGUACUUGUUAGUAAUGCUUGUGAAUCUAGCUUAUGGAGGGGUAUAACUACGGGAAACUGUAGCUAAUACCGCUUACCAUAGGAUGAGCCCAAGUGGGAUUAGUUAGUUUGUGAGGUAAAGGCUCACCAAGCCGACGAUCUCUAGCUGGUCUGAGAGGAUGACCAGCCACACGUGGACUGAGACACGGCACAGACUACUACGGGAGGCAGCAGUGGGGAAUAUUGCGCAAUGGGGGCAACCUGACGCAGCCAUGCCGCGUGAAUGAAGAAGGCCUUCGGGUUGUAAAGUUCUUUCGGUAGCGAGGCGUUAACUACAGAAGAAGCACAGGCUAACUCCGUGCCAGCAGCCGCGGUAAUAC